rnacentral:tRNA from 1 species
AGGGAUGUUGCUCAGUGGUCCAGCAUUUGCCUGGCACGCAUGAGACCCUGGAUUCAAUCUCCAGCACCACCA